rnacentral:rRNA from 1 species
UACGUAGGGUGCAAGCGUUGUCCGGAAUUAUUGGGCGUAAAGAGCUCGUAGGCGGUCUGUCGCGUCGGAUGUGAAAAUCCAGGGCUCAACCCUGGACCUGCAUUCGAUACGGGCAGACUAGAGUUCGGCAGGGGAGACUGGAAUUCCUGGUGUAGCGGUGAAAUGCGCAGAUAUCAGGAGGAACACCGGUGGCGAAGGCGGGUCUCUGGGCCGAUACUGACGCUGAGGCGCGAAAGCUAGGGGAGCAAACGGG